AGUCAGUUGGCCCAGCAACGGACUUCUGAACAUCCAGGGGGUUUGGACUGUCUGAAAUGUGGCAAAAAGGGAUACUGAAAGAAUGAAUACCAAAUCCGAAGGGGAAAGAAGGAGAAUUCAUCCUUCAUUUGGGUGAGAACUGAUGAAAACUGACAGGGAUGAGACUCCAUGUCAUAGAUGCCAGGAUAACAUUAAAGUCUUAACCUGGCAGGGUCUGACACCAGCCGUAUUUUAUAAUGAGACCUGUGGAAAUCAAUCAGCCCCUCCAAAGUGUGUGCCACCCAAUCACUCAACACUAGGGUGCCGGCAGAAACAGGUUCAUCAUGCAGAGGAGGUUGAACAUGUCGCAGGGAGGUGACAUCCCUGGAUGGAGACUCUUUACAAGACAGGAAUAAUGCAGCCUCAUGUCCGUCUUUCAUCUCACGAUGCCCAACUAUUUUUACCGGGCUUCAUUAAUCUUUGUUGAAUACAAUGGCAUACAUCUUUAAUGCGGCCGCUGUCAAGUCGUAUUUCAGCAGGAGCUGCAAACUGAAUGACAGCAAGCAAUAUUAAUAAAUUUAACAUAGACUAUAUCAAUUUUUAACAGAA